rnacentral:rRNA from 1 species
AUUGAACGCUGGCGGCAGGCCUAACACAUGCAAGUCGAACGGUAACAGGAAGAAGCUUGCUUCUUUGCUGACGAGUGGCGGACGGGUGAGUAAUGUCUGGGAAACUGCCUGAUGGAGGGGGAUAACUACUGGAAACAGUAGCUAAUACCGCAUAACGUCGCAAGACCAAAGAGGGGGACCUUCGGGCCUCUUGCCAUCGGAUGUGCCCAGAUGGGAUUAGCUAGUAGGUGGGGUAACGGCUCACCUAGGCGACGAUCCCUAGCUGGUCUGAGAGGAUGACCAGCCACACUGGAACUGAGACACGGUCCAGACUCCUACGGGAGGCAGCAGUGGGGAAUAUUGCACAAUGGGCGCAAGCCUGAUGCAGCCAUGCCGCGUGUAUGAAGAAGGCCUUCGGGUUGUAAAGUACUUUCAGCGGGGAGGAAGGGAGUAAAGUUAAUACCUUUGCUCAUUGACGUUACCCGCAGAAGAAGCACCGGCUAACUCCGUG